rnacentral:rRNA from 1 species
GAUGAACGCUGGCGGCGUGCUUAAUACAUGCAAGUCGAGCGAACAGACGAGGAGCUUGCUCCUUUGACGUUAGCGGCGGACGGGUGAGUAACACGUGGAUAACCUACCUAUAAGACUGGAAUAACUUCGGGAAACCGGAGCUAAUACCGGAUAACAUGCUGAACCGCAUGGUUCAACAGUGAAAGACGGUCUUGCUGUCACUUAUAGAUGGAUCCGCGCCGCAUUAGCUAGUUGGUAAGGUAACGGCUUACCAAGGCAACGAUGCGUAGCCGACCUGAGAGGGUGAUCGGCCACACUGGAACUGAGACACGGUCCAGACUCCUACGGGAGGCAGCAGUAGGGAAUCUUCCGCAAUGGGCGAGAGCCUGGCGGAGCAACGCCGCGUGAGUGGAGAAGGUCUUCGGAUCGUAAAACUCUGUUAUGAGGGAAGAACAAAUGUGUAAGUAACUAUACACGUCUUGACGGUACCUAAUCAGAAAGCCACGGCUAACUACGUG